rnacentral:antisense_RNA from 1 species
CGGGUGGUGUACUCCCAGAUGGCGUCGUCGUCCAGCAGCGCCUGGUCGCCGAAGUAGGCGCCGUCGGCCAGGACUCCGAGGGACUCGUCGUCGCCGUAGGGGCCGGUGCCGACCUUCUCGACCCUGCCGUGUGCCAGCAGGAACACCUCGUCGGCCGGGCUGCCGAACGAGGCGAUCACCUGGCCUGCCUCGAUCUCCCGCUGCCGGCAGCGGGAGGCCAGCUCCGAGAGCACCUCCUCGUCCUCGUACGACCGCAGGGCCGGCAGCUCGCCCAGCUCGGUCGGGAUGACCUCGACGCGGUCACCGGUCUUCACGAACGUCACGCGUCCGUCGCCGACGGCGUACGUCAGCCGCCGGUUCACCCGGUACGUACCGCCCUGCACGUCCACCCAGGGCAGCAUGCGCAGCAGCCAGCGCGAGCUGAUCUCCUGCAUCUGCGGUACGGACUUGGUGGUGGUGGCCAGGUUCCGCGCCGCGGCCGUGCCGAGACUCUGCUGCUGCCG